UGCCUAGCAACUCCUAUCCCUACCUCCUCGCAUUACAGAUCGGGGUAAGAGCCACCUUAGGAAAGAUCGGGUAACCCACCCCGGUGGGAACAUUGGUCAUAUGCUUGCAGGGAAGG
rnacentral:ribozyme from 1 species